rnacentral:rRNA from 1 species
UACGUAGGGGGCAAGCGUUGUCCGGAAUCAUUGGGCGUAAAGAGCGCGUAGGCGGUCCAGUAAGUCCGCUCUGAAAGUCCGGGGCUCAACCCCGAGACGUCGGUUGAAACCAUCUGGCUAGAGUCCGGAAGAGGAGUGUGGAAUUCCCGGUGUAGCGGUGAAAUGCGCAGAUAUCGGGAAGAACACCCGUGGCGAAGGCGGCACUCUGGGACGGUACUGACGCUGAGACGCGAAAGCGUGGGGAGCGAACAGG